UGAAUGGGAGCUACGGACACCGUACCCCGGGCUCAGAGAAGAGCCUGCUGGACCUGGACCUUGCUGAGGGCCCUGGCCCCACCUGCUGCCAGGGCCUGUUUCUCCCUGCAGGAAGCCCACCGCCCCGGGCUCACCCCCAAGCUUGUGAGAGGCUGCUGCAUUUCCCCCACCCUGACAGGUCACCUAGACCCCAGGCCACGUAUGUGAACGGCAGCCUCCCAACCACACAACACAUCAAACAGGAGUCCUUGCCCGACUACCAAGCCAUGGCAGAGGCCCGCACAUCCCUGUCUGCCCACUGUCGGGGCCCGCUGGCCACUGGCCUGCACCCAGACCUGGACCUCCCGGGCCGAAGCCUCGCCACCCCUGCGCCUUCCUGCUACCUUCUGGGCAGCGAACCCAGCUCUGGCCUGGGCCUCCAGCCCGAGACCCACCUCCCCGAGGGCAGCCUGAAGCGGUGCUGCGUCUUGGGCCUACCCCCCACCUCCCCAGCCUCCUCCUCACCCUGUGCCUCCUCCGACGUCACCUCCAUCAUCCGCUCCUCCCAGACGUCUCUGGUCACCUGUGUAAAUGGACUCCGGAGCCCCCCUCUGACGGGAGAUCUGGGGGGCCCUUCCAAGCGGGCCCGGCCUGGCCCUGCAUCGACGGACAGCCAUGAGGGCAGCUUGCAACUUGAAGCCUGCCGGAAGGCGAGCUUCCUGAAGCAGGAACCCGCGGAUGAGUUUUCAGAGCUCUUUGGGCCUCACCAGCAGGGCCUGCCGCCCCCCUAUCCCCUGUCUCAGUUGCCGCCUGGCCCAAGCCUUGGAGGCCUGGGGCUGGGCCUGGCAGGCAGGGUGGUGGCCGGGCGGCAGGCGUGCCGCUGGGUGGACUGCUGUGCAGCCUAUGAGCAGCAGGAGGAGCUGGUGCGGCACAUCGAGAAGAGCCACAUCGACCAGCGCAAGGGCGAGGACUUCACCUGCUUCUGGGCUGGCUGCGUGCGCCGCUACAAGCCCUUCAACGCCCGCUACAAGCUGCUCAUCCACAUGCGAGUGCACUCGGGCGAGAAGCCCAACAAGUGCAUG
rnacentral:circRNA from 1 species